rnacentral:rRNA from 1 species
AAGGAUCAUUAUUGAAUUUAAAUUGAAGUGAGUUGUCGCUGGCCCUUCGGGGCAUGUGCACGCUUGCUCUCAUUUAAUUAAACCCACCUGUGCACUAAUGGUAGACUUUGGAAUGAUCUUCAAGUUCAUUAGCUUGGUUUGAGGAACUGCAUUAGCGCUUUCCUUGUAUUUCAUAGUCUAUGUUUUUAUAUACCCCCCAAUGCAUGUCUUUGAAUGUCAUUUAAUUGCGCUGUCAAAUGCAGCCUUUAAAACCUUGCGCUCCUUGGUAUUCCGAGGAGCAUGCCUGUUUGAGUGUCAUUAAAUUAUCAACCUCUUCAGUUUGUUUAUACACAUUUUGAAUUGGCUUGGAUAUGGGAGUUGCGGGCUUCUCAGCAAGUCGGCUCUUCUUAAAUGCAUUAGUGGAACUUUGUUUGUUGACCAUCAUUGGUGUGAUAAUUAUCUACGCCAUUUCUGAUGUGAAGCACUGUUCAGCUUCUAACCGUCUAUUAUUGACUUUAAUUGACUAUUUGACCUCAAAUCAGGUAGGACUACCCGCUGAACUUAA